AUUACAUGACGGAAAAACUGUGGC
rnacentral:piRNA from 1 species